rnacentral:rRNA from 1 species
GACGAACGCUGGCGGCGUGCUUAACACAUGCAAGUCGAACGGAAAGGCCCUGCUUUUGUGGGGUGCUCGAGUGGCGAACGGGUGAGUAACACGUGAGUAACCUGCCCUUGACUUUGGGAUAACUUCAGGAAACUGGGGCUAAUACCGGAUAGGAGCUCCUGCUGCAUGGUGGGGGUUGGAAAGUUUCGGCGGUUGGGGAUGGACUCGCGGCUUAUCAGCUUGUUGGUUGGGUAGUUGCUUACCAAGGCUUUGACGGGUAGCCGGCCUGAGAGGGUGACCGGCCACAUUGGGACUGAGAUACGGCCCAGACUCCUACGGGAGGCAGCAGUGGGGAAUAUUGCACAAUGGGCGGAAGCCUGAUGCAGCAACGCCGCGUGCGGGAUGACGGCCUUCGGGUUGUAAACCGCUUUCGCCUGUGACGAAGCGUGAGUGACGGUAAUGGGUAAAGAAGCACCGGCUAACUACGUG